UUACUUGACAUCGAUAAAAAAAGACAAUUUAUGAGAAAACACAAAAUACUAAAGUACAUGUUUACAGUGUAUUUGCGGCAAUAAAAAACGAAUGACUAAAGGAACGUGCAUUAUUCUCCAUUCAGUAUCUACAGACAACAAGGGAAUUAGACAUAAAAGGGACUAUUUAUGAAUACACUUAAUUCUAAGGGACAGCUUAUUUGCCAAUGCAUUACCCAUAAGCCUCUGCGCCUCAGAUAUUUCUUAAGUAAUAAUAUAAUCAUUUGAAGGCAUGACUUUUGUCGUUUAAUGUAUUCGGCAGUAUACAUUUAUUUAAGGAGAGUGUUGCGGUAAUGGCAUGAAACAUUCAUGACACAAAUAAAGAAUGGAAGUAACAAUGUUGACUCAGUGGAGCAAAAUUAUGGAUCCCACCAAAAUUAUGGGCAGCAGUGUUGUGG